GACUUCAAGCUCCCAGGGAGGAACAGGUGGGUGUUUUCUCUGACCUGCACGGUUACUUAGCCAAAUCAGUAUUUUCAUCCCACUGGGCCCCAGACCUCCAGAUGGGCCUGGAGUUAAGGCUGUGGGUCUUGAACCCUGGUGUCCACCUAACAUUGUCUCUAGAUUGAACAAAGGCUCUGUCCCACACAUCCAAUGCCCUACUAUUUUCAAGAUGCUGGUGGAUGGCAUUGAGGCCAACAAAAUACAUUUAAAAUGUGACUGAAUGUAGAGAGGCUUUUUGGUUUCAUGUGUUUUUUCAAUCAAGGAUUUAGAAAUAUAUAAUUAUUAUGUUUGGAGGGGUCCCAAAAUUUUUUGAGGUACGUAAGGGCUAUUUGCUGUCAGCAAAAAGUACAAGGAGUCAUUGAUGUAGAUGUCAUGAUCCAAAUGACUGAACCUUCCUUUCCAGUCUCUGGCCUAAGUAAUCUUAAGUAAUCCAUCUGUCCACUCUGUAGAAAGAGGAACCCAGCCAGCUUUGAGGUGUAAUAACAAGUAAUUACCACCAUUCAUUCAAUGCUUACCAUGUGCCAGACACUGUGCUGUACAUGAACUAUUCUAUUUCAUCUUCCUGACAAGGCUGUGAGGUAUUAUCAUUCAUUUUACAGAUGAAGACACUGAGGAUGGAGUCACUUGCCCAAGGUCAACGUGUGAGUGAUGGAUCUGGGGUAUUGUAGCUUUAAAUCUCACAUUCCUCAAUGCCAUCUUUCAUUCGGUCCACCGGACACUGUGCUUGGCACCAGGCACUUCCCAGCCCACAAGUGCACUUGCUGGGUCAAAGAGUGUGCACAUUUUCACCAUAAACGGGAGACCUGGGAAAAGGUAGUAUUUCGGUUUGAGUCUGAAGACAGGGAAAGAGCCAAUGCCCUGGUUCAAAGACUGUUAGGCAGGAAGAAUCCUCUCUUACUUUCUGUUCUAUUCAGGCCUUCGAGUGAUUGAAUGAAUCCUCAUUUUGAUCUCACGUUAGUACUUAUGAGGGCUGAUCACCAGAUAUGCUAUUUCUGCCUUUUGAGCACCUAGUAAGGUUGUAAUUCUUGGUUCCCUCUCACCCCUUGGGGUUAGUUGGUACCGUGUGAUAAAUUCAAGGUCAAGCUUUUCAAAAAAUAUAUUUAUUUAUUUUAUUUAUUUUGGCUGUUCCGGGUCUUAGUUGCGGCACACGGGAUCUUUAGUUGCACCAUGCACGCGGGAUCCAGUUCCCCAGCGAGGGAUCGACCCCAGGCCCCCUGCAUUGGGAAGGUGGACCCAUUGGACCAUCAGGGAAGUCCCAAGGUCAAGCUUUAAUUGCUGUUGAGACCCUCCAGGGCUCUUUUUUUAAUCUCUGCCACCAUUUCAGAGAGUGGGUGCUUCAUCAUCUAUCUUCCAAGAUAAUGCAUGACAGACAUAUAGCCCUGUAAUGGACACACAGUACAAGCAAGAAACAGACUUUCGUCAUUUUGAGCCACUGAUAAAUAAAUUUUGGAAGUUUAUUUGUUAUUGCAGAAUAACAUUGACUAUCCUGACCGCUGCAUGCUAUUUGGAGAGGGUGGCUGGAGAGACUGCUCUCCAGAAAGCCUCCUUGCCCUCUAUGGGGAAAACAUUGUGCUUGCGCAUAAAUGCCCCGUCCUAUUUUCACUCUGUGUCAUUUUCUGGGAGUACUUAAGACGACAAGUCUACCUCACUCUUUCUGUUUUUAAGAUGGCCAAUUCAAAGUCAGAAUCUUGCAAUCCAAGCUUCAAGCCACAUGUUUUAAUGAUCGAUUUCCACGAAACAUUUAAGAUUGUUCUAGAAAAUCCAACCUCACCUAAUCCAACGUGACACUUAUUCAUGUGGUGGCUGCAUGAGUUACAAAAAAAAAAAAAAAUUCAUGAAACAUUGCUGAACAGUUAUUAAAUAGUCUCUAGUCCCUAAUGGCAAAUUCAUUUUCAUUUAAUAACAAGUUAUUGUGAAGUAUAAUGAAAAAUAGAGUGGCAUGCAAAAUAAACUGGCCUCUGUUUCCAUUGACACAGUGCCAGUUUCUUGGGUGCAGCGUUAUAAUACUAUCCAUCUUCAUAAAGCACUCUUUGGGCGGCAUUAUGAAACAGUGGGAAGGAAUGGCGGAUGACAGCUUCAUUAGUCAUGAGUAGGUAAUCCUGGCCAAUUUCUCCUGGGAAUUAUUAACACAUUCCUAAACACCCCUUGGUUGAUGACAUCCAAAAAAGAAGAGGAGGAGAUCGGUUAUAAAAUCUUGGACAUUAUCCAAAUCUGGCUACAAGUGAGCUGCAGAAAGUCAUGGAACAGUCCCUCUUUCCCAGAGCUCUCUGGAAGGCUUCUGGGGAAUGGGACCUUGUGAGCCAAGAUGGACAAGACCUCAAACUCUUGCCCAUUGCUGAAUACCUUAGUGGGGAGAAAAAAUCGAGAUGGUGUCUACCUGGCAGACAACUUCAGGCUGUAUCACUUGUCCUAGCCUGAGCCGCACCACCCACUCAGAGCACUCAAAUCAUUCAUCAGUGGCUCCCGAGAAGAUGAGAGAGAGUGACAGCUGCAGAGGAUGCCAGAGAGAGACAGGCAGAGAGAACAGAAGCCAAAAAGGAGAAAGAGCCAGGGGGGAAAAAGGAAGAUACAAGCCAAGAAAGAACUAAAGGUGCUUAAAUUUCAAGGUGGAUUUUCUUUUUAAGUAUGCUGUAUCAUAAAGUCUGACUAUUGUCAGAACCCUUUUUUUCCCUGCUGCCUCUGGCUUUUGUGAAACAGUGAAGUGUUUUUGCUUUAGCCAUCAUGGGAGAAUCUUAUUUUUAGUGAUUCCUUACACCAACUAAAUAUUUAGCGAUCAAUGAUCACUGUGAACAUUUUUCACGUAUUUUCUUUCAAAUCAACUUCAGAUUUUUUUUUUUCAGUUUUAUGGCAUUUGGAAGCUAUUUCAGGGAUUUCUUUUCUGUAAAACAAAUGUUAAAAAAUUUUUAAUCCAGUUGGAAUUUAGUACCAGGUAUGAUCAAUUCGGUAAAUCUUUAUUAAGUGUUUACUACAUGCAUGUCACUGUGCCAAGUCCCAGACACAAGGGUGAAUAAAGAGGACCUCUGCUUUGGUGGAAACUCUAGGCUAGCUGGGGCUUCCCAGCCUUGGGGGCAUCGCUCUCUUAGGAACCCUGUUAGAAGUCUGCCUGUGUGGGCUCCACUCCAGGACUGCCUGAGUCAGUAGGUGAUUCUGAUGCAUCCCGACGUUCAAGACACACUGGUUGGGAGCAGGCACUAUUUGUAGCAGUCACGUACCCCAGCUUUAGAGAGCUAUCCAGGACUCUGAAAGCUCUGGAGACACCUCAGCUACCCGCUGUCUGCAUGCAGCUCCUCAGACCCCAAGAAGGCUCCACCCUAAAUAAGGUGGCAUGGAUGGGCUAGGGCCAGAGACAGAUCAGUUUAUAUCACAACUAAUGGAGAGCCGAGUAUUCUUGUUAAAAAUUCUCAAGGUCCAGAAUUAAUCUUGGGUAACUGGGAAACAUCUUAAUUUUAGAAUUUUAAAAAUCAGAAAAAUUUGAUUGGAAUAAACUAUUUUUGUGUGUGCCUAUCUUACCUCCUGAUUUGCAAAAGGGUGAGGGAAGACUUGUCUUCUUAAAUCAAAUUUGUACAUCUCUGGAACUGCCAAAUAUAGUAAGUUCAUAAGUGAUCUCAUAAUACAGAAUACAUGCUUGUGCUUCUAAA